UGAUGGGAGCUGGAUCCUUAGGCAUUGGCUACGCUUGGGCAGUGGGGAUUGGGAGCAGAUAGCCAGGCAAGGCUUUGGAGCCGCGGCAACAACACCUCUGCUUUUUAAUGAAAUGGAGAGGGGACACGUUUUCCUGAGGAAAUCCUGCUCAUGCCGUGGAUGUUAUGGGACCGUGUCCUCUGGAGCUGGCUCUGGAGCCAACUGAUUAACAUUUUAAGCAUGUAGACGACCUCCUGGCCUUCGGAGAUCAGUUUCUCUCUUGCCAUCUUCCUUUGUCCAUGUCUUUCCUUCUCAGGAAAAAAAAAGAGAGACUUCACUAAAGACCUCUCUAAAAUUUCACAUCCCCGAUGCGAUAUGAUUAUUUUAUUCACUUGGUUUCAUCAGAAUUAAGCCCAGAUUGGAAAGAGAAAAAUCAGCAAACAGGGAGGGUAUUGCCUGACCCUCUCCCUUUAUUGGGUUCUGCUUCUCGGAGAGGGUGGCACGGCCGUCCCGUGGGCAGAAUCUGCUGUCAGUCUCCCUCGGCGCCAACUGAACACAGAGCCUGAAAGUGAAAGGAAAUGAACCCGGAGAUUCACGGCUGCCUUACCCACCUCCACGGACAAAGGAAUUUGCACAGCCCCAGUGCCUUGGCUGGAUUCCAGUUCAGGCAUCUUUUGAAUACCUGCCUGACCCUGCUGAGAUGCUGCCAGGCCCUGGUGAUGCUGUGAUGAAGGCAACGUGGCUCCUCUGUCUUUAGAAGCACAACCCUGGCGCGUGAGACAGCUACGUACACGCCAGCCCCAGGAGAAGCCUCACCGACACAUACCUGUGCACAGACCAGCUGGGCAUUUUUGUGCAUGCAAGACCUGCCUUUCCAAUGAUCUUAAGAUGUCACUGCAGCGUUUACAUCUUUUAUUUCAAGAUUUAAAUAACUAGGAAGUAGCUAAUGUAAUUCACUGCUGAGAAGAAAGAGGAGCUUCUUGAUUCCUUUCCAAAGCCAUCUCCUUCUAAUGAACUUCUUUGGACUCCAUUUACAAAUGUAAUAACCAUUCUUAGUUUGUGGGCCGUACAAAAGCAGACAGUGCCCAGAUGUGGCCCGCAGGCUGCAGCUUGGCCCCUCUGCUUUGGAACUGAACCAGGAAACUUCCAGCCGCUCUGACUCUCCUGCUGCUCUUGUAGGAAUGAAGGAGGGAUGCCUUCUUGAUCCACUGGAUCUACUCACAUAAUAAUAUGUACAGAGCCCAUACUGGGUGCCAGGUCCGUGUGGGAAGCCCUGUGGGGCAGCUUCCUGUGGCUGCUGUCACAGCCUGCGGUCCAGUCUCUGAGCUCCUGGUGAUGCUGGUGAGCUUUGGCUCACAGCCGCAUCCCUCCAGCCUCCAUCUCCCUCUUCCCAUGGGACUCUCCCUGCCUGCAUCUCCCUGCCCAGAUUCUCCUCUUCUGGUGAGCGAGGCCGUUGCUGGAGCAGGGCCCAGCCUACUCCUGGAGGACCCCCUCACAGCCUGAUGACAUCUGCAAGGACUCUGUUUCCCAAGAAGAUCACAUUCUCAGGUCCCAGGGGACUUGAACAUUUUUGGGGGGGUGAUGCAAUUCAACUGGCAUGAUGCAGAAAGCAGAGUAAACAGAGGUUAGAAUUGGGGCCCAAGUGGCAGCUGUCCCUUUACCGUGUGACUUCAGUGGCUGACGAUUGGCCCUGAUCCUUCCUGGCAGCAAAACGCAGUCGUGGUGUUGACGGCUGUGGUUGGGUCUCCAGAAGUAUCAUCCCCACAGGAUCCCGAGUGAAUCUCACACAGGUUAGUAAAGGUUUCUUUGGGGAUUUGCCUUGCUCACUCAGGGAACAACUUCACAGCCUGAGGCCCUUCUUGCCACACACUCCAUGGACUCUUCUCUGGACCCUCUGCCAUGUAGCUGCUCCACCUGCUUCUCUUGGGGAUUUCUCUUGGGAAGUAGGAUUCCUGGCUCCUUAAUCAGGGCUUCCCUGGUGGCACUAGUGGUAAAGAGCCUGCCUGCCAAUGCAGGAGAUGUAAGAGGUGUGGGUUCGAUCCCUGGGUAGGGAAGAUCCCCUGGAGGAGGAAAUGGCAACCCACUGCAGUAUUUUGCUUCGAAAAUCCCAUGGACAGAGGAAACCGGCGGGCUUCAGUCCAUGGGAUUGCAAUCAGCUCCUUAAUCAGCUUGACCCCAGUUCCUGUCCCCAAAGCUUGCAGAUGCACUCAGCACUCAGCAUAAGGAAGGGCCCCCCCAGUGCCGGGACCCCACCCUCAUGCACAGCUUUGCAUCCUUUUGUUACGCGAGCUUGCUUUCUGCCCCAAGUGAGCUACCAGGGUAUUUCUUCUGUAUGAGCACCCUUCCUUUUAUUAUGCUUCACUUUAUUGCACUUUACAGAUAUUGCGAUUUUUGCAAAUUGAAGGUUUGUGGCCAUCCUGCAUUGAGCACAUCUAUUUGGUACCAUUUUUCCAGCAGCAUUUGCUCACUUUGUGUCUGUAUCAUAUAUUGGUAAUUCUCACAAUAUGUUCAACCCUCCACCAGCAGAAAGAUUACAAUUUGAUGAAGACUCAGAUAAUGUUUAGCAUUUUUAGCA